GAACGAACGCUGGCGGCGCGUCUUAAGCAUGCAAGGUCGAACGGCAAGAUUGGUGCUUGCACCGAUCCUAGAGUGGCGGACUGGUGAGUAACGCGUGGGUGACGUACCUAAGGAUGGGGAUAGCUGGUAGAAAUAUCAGAUAAUACCGAAUAUCCUUGUUGUUGUUAGAGGACAGUAAGGAAGGAGCUUUGGCUUCGCCUAAGGAUCGGCCCGCGUACUAUUAGCUAGUUGGUGAGGUAACGGCUCACCAAGGCGACGAUAGUUAUCCGGCCUGAGAGGGUGAACGGCCACAUUGGGACUGAGACACGGCCCAGACUCCUACGGGAGACAGCAGUAAGGAAUUUUCGGCAAUGGGGGAAACCCUGACCGAGCAACGCCGCGUGAGUGAUGAAGGCCUUUGGGUUGUAAAGCUCUGUUGUAAAGGAAGAACGUGCAGAUGAGGAAAUGCUUCUGUAUUGACGGUACUUUACCAGAAAGUCACGGCUUACUACGUG
rnacentral:rRNA from 1 species